rnacentral:rRNA from 1 species
CCUACGGGGGGCAGCAGUGGGGAAUAUUGGACAAUGGGCGAAAGCCUGAUCCAGCCAUGCCGCGUGUGUGAAGAAGGCCUUCGGGUUGUAAAGCACUUUCAGUGGGGAAGAAAGCCUUGGGGCUAAUACCCUCGAGGAAGGACAUCACCCACAGAAGAAGCACCGGCUAACUCCGUGCACAGCAGCCGCGGUAAUACGGAGGGUGCGAGCGUUAAUCGGAAUUACUGGGCGUAAAGCGCGCGUAGGCGGUCUGAUAAGCCGGUUGUGAAAGCCCCGGGCUCAACCUGGGAACGGCAUCCGGAACUGUCAGGCUAGCGUGCAGGAGAGGAAGGUAGAAUUCCCGGGGUAGCGGUGAAAUGCGUAGAGAUCGGGAGGAAUACCAGUGGCGAAGGCGGCCUUCUGGACUGACACUGACGCUGAGGUGCGAAAGCGUGGGUAGCAAACAGGAUUAGAUACCCCAGUAGUC